GGUGUGUUGGCUCAAUCAGUAGAGCGUCCGCCUCACAACCGGGAGGUCGUGAGUUCGAACCCCGGCCGCGUCA
rnacentral:tRNA from 1 species